UUUCUUCAUAAUAACUCAAGAAACUUCCUCGCAUCUCUUCCUCAAGUUCUCAUGUCACUUCCUCCAGCAUGUGAUGUUGUCAUAGCACUUUGACCAUCAGGAUCCUUUAGUUACGUAGAAUCUUCUCCAUUUAAUCGACUAUUUUUGUUGGAUAUUCCGUGUAGGUCAUGCCCGAGUUGACAGGAAUUUAUUGAUAGGGAAUGAUGUGAGAAGGGUCAAGAUAAUACCUUUUAAGCAUUAAGAUAUAAAAAACAUCGUGAAAGCCAUGAAAUUCUGGGGGUAGGACGAGACGGUAGGCUACUGGGCCUAAACGUUCUACAAUUUCAAAUGGUCCC
rnacentral:lncRNA from 1 species